rfam:Myotis davidii contig226055, whole genome shotgun sequence.
GGUGGUUCUCAGGUGACACAUCCUGGAAUUGGGUUCCCUCGUCUCUGGUUCCAGAGUGCGUCACCCAAGAACGGCC